GUGGGGAAUCUUCCGCGAUGGACGAAAGUCUGACGGAGCAACGCCGCGUGAGUGAUGAAGGUCUUCGGAUUGUAAAGCUCUGUUAAUCGGGACGAAAGAGCCUAGUGUGAAUAAUGCUAGGAAGUGACGGUACCGGAAUAGAAAGCCACGGCUAACUACGUGCCAGCAGCCGCGGUAAUACGUAGGUGGCAAGCGUUGUCCGGAAUUAUUGGGCGUAAAGCGCGCGCAGGCGGAUCUGCCAGUCUGUCUUAAAAGUUCGGGGCUUAACCCCGUGAUGGGAUGGAAACUACAGAUCUAGAGUAUCGGAGAGGAAAGUGGAAUUCCUAGUGUAGCGGUGAAAUGCGUAGAUAUUAGGAAGAACACCAGUGGCGAAGGCGACUUUCUGGACGAAAACUGACGCUGAGGCGCGAAAGCCAGGGGAGCGAACGGGAUUAGAUACCCGGGUAGUCC
rnacentral:rRNA from 1 species